CCAGGUACUAGUUAUAUCACAGCCCUGGGUCAGAGUUUUCACUGGUUAUAUUACACAGGCGAUAUUAUAGGUCAGGUACUUGUUAUAUCAAACCCUAGUUUAGAGUUAGUACGGGUUAUAUCAAAGCCCUAGUUUAGAGUUAGUACUAGUUAUAUCACAGCCCUGGUUUCGAGCUAGUACUAGUUAUAUCACAGCCUUGUUGUAUAUAUCAGGUACUAGUUAUAUCACAGCCUUGUUGUGUAUCAGAUACUAGUUAUAUCACAGCCCUGGGUCAGAGUUGCCACUGGUUAUAUUACACAGACGAUAGAGUUAGUACUAGUUAUUUCACAGCCCUGAUUUAGAGUAAGUACUAAUUAUAUCAGAGCUGUAGUUUAGAG